ensembl:lncRNA
GGAAACUUUGUGCUCAGUAGCAUCUGUUAUAUAAAGAACACUUGAGCCCUAACAGGCGAGCUGGAUCUGCAGUACUGAGAGAGAGAGAGAGAGAGAGAGAUCCAAUUGUUUUCAUUUCUUUGUUUCCAGAAUAUGCUGGUACUGUCCACCAUCCUGAACCAAAGGCAUUAAAGCUGGCAGAAAAGAAUAUUAAUGGCGAUGAUAAAACCAUGUCACAGAAACGUGGUGGCUCUGUGGGGCAUAAAUUCAUGCAAAAGCACUUUCUGAAGCUGCUGUAGGCUGACAGUGUGCUCCCCCCACACACACUGCAUCUUUGAUUUCAUCAGCAACAAAAGAACAGCCAGCCGGCUCUGCAAGCAAGGUACACUGAGCGUAACAAACCUGACGAGAGAGUGGCUGGCACAACUAGCACAUCUUUACACCCUUCUUGACAACGCAUGGCUGAAGAGGUACCCUUACUGCUCCUGCUAAGGAACAAAGCACAGCGUGAACUUGGCCUUUACAAGACAUCAGAGACUCUACCCAGCAGCUCCAUCUGAAGGGUCCUCAGUUCAUUUUGUCCUCCUCUCACUGGAUUUUGCUCUAAACAAGCG